rnacentral:rRNA from 1 species
AACGAACGCUGGCGGCGUGGAUAAGACAUGCAAGUCGAACGCUUGAUUUCGGUUAGCAAUAAUCGGAGUCAGGAGUGGCGCAAGGGUGCGUAACACGUGGGCAAUCUGCCGCGAAGACCGGGAUAACUUGCUGAAAGGCGAGCUAAUACCGGAUGUGAAAUCUGGAAGGCAUCUUUUGGAUUUUGAAGCUGGGGACCGCAAGGCCUGGCACUUCGCGAUGAGCCCGCGGCCUAUCAGCUAGUUGGUGAGGUAACGGCUCACCAAGGCUAAGACGGGUAGCUGGUCUGAGAGGACGACCAGCCUCACUGGAACUGAGACACGGUCCAGACACCUACGGGUGGCAGCAGUCGAGUAAUUUUUGACAAUGGGGAAACCCUGAUCGAGCGACGCCGCGUGGAGGAUG